UAUUAAUACCUUAUAUAUAAAGACAUCAAAGGCGAUCCAUUCAAUUUGAAAACUAGGCGAGUCAACUCAGUCAAUUUCAAAAUUAACUCGGUCAAUUUGAAAACCAGGUGUGUUAUCUCGGUUAAAAAUUAAAUUGAUUCCUUCUCUUCUUUUGGCUUUUCCGAUCCGUUCCCUUGAUUUGGCUUUCAGUCUUCCAAACAACAAUCUCUUUAUCUCCUCCUCAAUAAAUCUUAUCUCGGUUGAUCUCCUCCUCCUCCCCUCAAAUCGUCUCCAAUCAAUCUACCAUCGCCUUCCCUUGUUUGACUUUAAAUUAGGUUUUCUCUGUGGCUGUUAAAGAUCAGAUCGAAUUCAUCAACAAGGUAUAUAUAUAUAUAUAUAUAUAUAUAUAUAUAUAUACACAUUUUCUUAACAUGUUCAUUCAUAAACAUGAUAUUCUUGAUUCAAUCAAUUAUCUUUCAAAAGAUUCAUCCAAAAAAAAUUCUUUUCCUUUUUAAUUUGCUAAUUUUAGAUUCAAUUGUAAGUUUUAUGUUUUCUUUUUAUAAGCUUCUGAUCUUAAUUUCUUCUACAAAAGUUAUUAUUUUUGUAAAACAUAUUCUUGAUAUGACUACUGUGAUUCAAUCAAUUCUUUUCAAAAGAAAGAUCAAUCCAAAGACGAGUCUUUUCAUUUUGAUUUUACUAAGUUUUGAUCAGAUUGUAACUUUGUUUUUUUUUUUUUUACCUUUUCUCUUCAUUCAUUUUACACCACAUAAAAAAGUCUAGAUCUUUAUACAAUAAUGGCAAAUGUGGACCUUCGAUAUUCAUCUUUACUCAAUUCGUCCACUGAACUACCCAAAAAUUCAGCUACAAAAUCAUUAGUAAUCUUUUUUUUGUUCAUACCUCAUUAUUUCUUGAUAUUUUAAGCAGAUUUUUGGUUCCCAGUUGAAUUUCUUGGAAAGGGAUAAGACCCAGUUGAGAUUGUCGGAUUAUUCCAAGUGUGUAUUUCUUAAAAUUUAAUUUCUCUUGCAAUUUUUUGAAUUUCUCUCUCCUAAGAAAGUUCAAUUUUUAAAAUUAUACAGAUUUUCUACUGGGUAUUAGCUGUUGGUACUGUUUUCUUGGUAGAUUUUUAAUACUAUGAGCUAAAUUUUAUUGUUUAGAGAAUUUGAUGGAAAUGGUGAUCAAAUGUUGAGCACUUGAUUUUUCUAUUUCUUUUGUUUGCAUGUUUUUGAUGCAAUAAUUGAUUGAUAUGAAACAGGAUUGAGUGUGUGUAUGUGAUGAUACAUUCAUAAUUCGUUCAAGCUUUUGCUUUUGAAUGGAGACCGUCAUUAUGUAACAGAGGCGAAUAUGUUGUUUUAGAUAUAAAAUUUUAGUAUUUGUUUUUUAUUUAAUUUUUUUUAUAGAUGAUAGAUCAGAUGGAGUGGACUGUCCAGUUAGAUGGUAAAAUCUUAAGGUUUGAUAUUUGCACAUUACAUGACAAAAAGAGGUCAUAGCCUUCAAUUAGACUAAGGUGUUGUUUGUUUACAUCUGAUUGCCUCUUAAUGGACUGUCUCUUAUUCGUUAAGAGGCAUGAUGUUGUUUGUUUAUUUUUUUGUUACCUCUGAAUGCCUCUUAAUCAGUAAGACAGAAAAUAAAAUCUUAAUAAUUAAGAGGUGCUUCUUAAU
rnacentral:lncRNA from 1 species